UACGAAGGGAGCUAGCGUUGUUCGGAAUCACUGGGCGUAAAGCGCACGUAGGCGGAUGUGUCAGUCAGGGGUGAAAUCCCGGAGCUCAACUUCGGAACUGCCCUUGAUACAGCACGUCUUGAGUCCGGGAGAGGUGAGUGGAACUGCGAGUGUAGAGGUGAAAUUCGUAGAUAUUCGCAAGAACACCAGUGGCGAAGGCGGCUCACUGGCCCGGUACUGACGCUGAGGUGCGAAAGCGUGGGGAGCAAACGGG
rnacentral:rRNA from 1 species